rnacentral:rRNA from 1 species
UGUUUCGGCUAGGGGGUCAUCCCGACUUACCAACCCGAUGCAAACUACGAAUACCGAAGAAUGUUAUCACGGGAGACACACGGCGGGUGCUAACGUCCGUCGUGAAGAGGGAAACAACCCAGACCGCCAGCUAAGGUCCCAAAGUCAUGGUUAAGUGGGAAACGAUGUGGGAAGGCACAGACAGCCAGGAUGUUGGCUUAGAAGCAGCCAUCAUUUAAAGAAAGCGUAAUAGCUCACUGGUCGAGUCGGCCUGCGCGGAAGAUGUAACGGGGCUAAACCAUGCACCGAAGCUGCGGCAGCGACACUAUGUGUUGUUGGGUAGGGGAGCGUUCUGUAAGCCUGCGAAGGUGUGCUGUGAGGCAUGCUGGAGGUAUCAGAAGUGCGAAUGCUGACAUAAGUAACGAUAAAGCGGGUGAAAAGCCCGCUCGCCGGAAGACCAAGGGUUCCUGUCCAACGUU